AUUGAACGCUGGCGGCAUGCCUUACACAUGCAAGUCGAACGGUAACAGGCCGCAAGGUGCUGACGAGUGGCGAACGGGUGAGUAAUGCAUCGGAACGUGCCCAGUAGUGGGGGAUAGCCCGGCGAAAGCCGGAUUAAUACCGCAUACGACCUGAGGGUGAAAGGGGGGGAUCGCAAGACCUCUCGCUAUUGGAGCGGCCGAUGUCAGAUUAGCUAGUUGGUGGGGUAAAGGCCUACCAAGGCAACGAUCUGUAGUUGGUCUGAGAGGACGACCAGCCCCACUGGGACUGAGACACGGCCCAGACUCCUACGGGAGGCAGCAGUGGGGAAUGUUGGACAAUGGGCGAAAGCAUGAUCCAGCCAUGCGGCGUGUCUGAAGAAGGCCUUCGGGUUGUAAAGGACUUUUGUCGGGGAGGAAAUCCCCAGCGCUAAUACCGCUGGGGGAUGACAGUACCUGAAGAAUAAGCACCGGCUAACUACGUGCCAGCCGCCGCAGUAAGAC
rnacentral:rRNA from 1 species